AAACAUCUCAGUACCUGGAGGAAAAGAAAUCAAGAGAGAUUCCGCAAGUAGCGGCGAGCGAACGUGGAAGAGCCUAAACCGGACGGUUUACUGUCCGGGGUUGCGGGACUCAGUCAUGGCAAGACAAAGGUUAGUUGAAUGCUGUGGAAAAAGCAGCCAUAGAAGGUGAUAGCCCUGUAAACGAAAACCAAUGAAAGCCUAUGAGUAUCCCAAGUAGAACGGGACACGUGAAACCCUGUUCGAAUCCGGAGAGACCACUCUCCAAGGCUAAAUACUAUCCGAUGACCGAUAGCGAACUAGUACCGCGAGGGAAAGGUGAAAAAGUACCCCCGUUAGGGGAGUUAAUAGUACCUGAAAUCAUGUGCUUACAAAGUGUAGGAGCCCUUAGGGGUGACUGCAUGCCUUUUGCAUAAUGAGCCUGCGACUUACUUUAUACAGCGAGGUUAAACCUUGGGUGGAGCCGAAGCGAAAGCGAGUGCGAAUAGCGCGACUAGUUGUAUGGAGUAGACCCGAAGCUGAAGUGAUCUAACCAUGGCCAGGUUGAACCUCCGGUAACACGGAGUGGAGGACCGAACCAGUGCGUGUUGAAAAACGUUUGGAUGAGCUGUGGUUAGGGGUGAAAGGCCAAUCAAACUCAGUGAUAGCUGGUUCUCCUCGAAAUAGCUUGAGGGCUAGCCUUGUGAAUUUAGUUUAUGGGGGUAGAGCACUGAUUGUUAGAGGGCCCUGACCGGGGUACCAAAAACUAUCAAACUCCGAAUACCAUAAAUGUUAUCACAGGAGUCAGACUGUGAGGGAUAAGCUUCAUAGUCGAAAGGGUAUCAGCCCAGACCGCCAGCUAAGGUCCCAAAUCUGGACUAAGUGGAAUUGAAGGAUGUGAAGUUGCUAAAACAACCAGGAUGUUGGCUUAGAGGCAGCCAUCAUUUAAAGAGUGCGUAAUAGCUCACUGGUCGAGUGAUUUUGCGCCGAAGAUGAUCGGGACUAAGUCCAGAACCGAAGCUGCGGGCCGUAAGUUUACUUACGGCGAUAGAGGAGCGUUGUAUACGGGGUAAAGCGUAAAGGUGACUGAGCGUGAACUGUAUACAAGCGACCAUGCAGGCAUGAGUAGCGAAAAACCGGAUGAAAAUUCCGGUCACCGAAAACCUAAGGUUUCCUGGGGCAGGUUCGUCCACCCAGGGUUAGUCGGAUCCUAAGGCGAGGCCGAAGGGCGUAGUCGAUGGACAACAGGUUAAUAUUCCUGUACUACCUUAUUUUAGCGAUGGAGGGGUGCAGUAUGCUAAGUGAGCUGGUUAUUGAUUUACCAGUCUAAAGACGCAGGAUGUCAGGCAGGAAAAUCCACUUGACACAAAUCCGAGGUCUGAACAGGCGCUGAGUGCUUCGGCACAAGGCGAANNNNNNNNNNNNNNNNNNNNNNNNNNNNNNNNNNNNNNNNNNNNNAAUAAGGUAUCCGUACCGUAAACCGACACAGGUAGGUAAGGCGAGAAGCCUAAGGUGCGCGAGAGAAACCACGUUAAGGAACUCGGCAAAUUAACCCCGUAACUUAGGGAGAAGGGGUGCCGUUCUGGUAAAGGGAUUUACUCCCGGAGCUAAGGACGGUUUCAACAAAGAGGCCACUGCGACUGUUUAACAAAAACAUAGCACUCUGCUAACUCUUAAGAGGAUGUAUAGGGUGUGACACGUGACCAAUGCCGAAAGGUCAAACGGAGGGGUUAUUCCAGCAAUGGGAGAAGCUCUGAUGUGAAGCCCCGGUGAAUGUCGGCCGUAACUAUAACGGUCCUAAGGUAGCGAAAUUCCUUGUCGGGUAAGUUCCGACCUGCACGAAUCGUGUAACGAUAGUGGCGCUGUCUCAACGUGGAUCUCGGCGAAGUUGUAAUUCCGGUGAAAAUGCCGGAUACCUGCGGAAGGACGGAAAGACCCCAUGAACCUUUACUGUAUUCUGAUAUUGGUAUUUGGUUGUUCAUGUGUAGUAUAGGUGGGAGGCUUUGAAACCGCUACGCUAGUACCGGUGGAGCCAUCAGUGAAAUACCACCCUUGAAUUGUUGAAUAUCUAACCCUGACCCGUGAAACCGGGCGGGGGACCGUGUCAGAUGGUCAGUUUGACUGGGGCGGUUUCCUCCAAAAGCGUAACGGAGGAGUUCGAAGGUGCACUCAACACGGUUGGCAAUCGUGUGUGGAGCGUAAGGGUAUAAGUGCGCCUUACUGUGAGACCGACAGGUCGAGCAGUUGCGAAAGCAGGACCUAGUGAUCCAGUGAUGGAAAGUGGAAUCGUCAUUGCUCAUCGGACAAAAGGUACUCUGGGGAUAACAGGCUGAUAGCGCCCAAGCGUCCAUAGCGACGGCGCUGUUUGGCACCUCGAUGUCGGCUCAUCACAUCCUGGGGCUGAAGAAGGUCCCAAGGGUUCGGCUGUUCGCCGAUUAAAGUGGUACGCGAGCUGGGUUCAGAACGUCGUGAGACAGUUCGGUCCUUAUCCUCCGUAGGCGUAGGAUAUUUGACGGGAUCAUUCCUUAGUACGAGAGGACCGGGAAUGACUAACCUCUGGUGUUCCAGUUGCACUGUCAAGUGCAUUGCUGGGUAGCUAUGUUGGGACAGGAUAAGCGCUGAAAGCAUCUAAGCGCUAAGCCCACCCGAAGACUAGAUAUCCCAUCACGUAAUAGUGACUGAAGGCAGGUUGAAGACUACGACCUUGAUAGGCUGGAAGUGUAAGUGCAGCAAUGCAUUAAGCUAACCAGUACUAAUCAGCCGUGAGGCUUAAUCACCUUUUCU
rnacentral:rRNA from 1 species